UGGUGGAAGCAGUACCAAACAAGGAAACAGCAGAGGUAGCAGAAGACAAGGUUAAGAAAUUGGUUUCUCGAUGGAUUUUCUUCCUCACAUAUUCGUCUCUACAGCAAUCAUCAUUCUCUCCCUCGCAAUCGUGCCUCUAUCUCAUUUCCAUCCAACCUUUAACUAUUUUUUGGCUUGGAAGUCACCAUUGUCUCAGCCAGUGGCCAGUUUGGUUUUAAGGAAUGGGGUGAUAUUUACCAGUGAUGACACUCUUCCAUUUGCAGAAUCUAUGGCAGUGGCCAAUGGGAGGGUUCUUCGUGUUGGCAACCAUUCAUUUGUCCAGGAAUUGGCAGGUUAUGGAACUCAAGUGUUGGAUCUUGGUGGGAAAGUUGUGGUUCCUGGGUUUAUUGAUUCCCAUGUGCAUUUCAUUAAUGGUGGAUUGCGGAUGACUCAGGUGAAACUGAGUGGUGUGAAUAAAAAGGAAGAGUUUGUCAGAAGGAUCGAAGUUGCAGUACAAAGCACAAAACAUAGUUCCUGGAUUUUGGGUGGUGGAUGGAACAAUGAUCUAUGGGGAGGAGAUCUGCCAGCUGCUUCUUGGAUCGAUGAUGUUACUCUUAACAAUCCUGUUUGGCUAUCAAGAAUGGAUGGUCACAUGGGCUUGGCUAACUCAGUAGCAUUGAGAUUGGCUGGGAUUACAAAUUUAACUGAUAAUCCUAGAGGAGGAUCUAUAGUGAGGACUUCCAAUGGAGAACCUACUGGACUGCUAAUUGAUUCUGCAAUGUCACUUGUGAUCUCUCAGAUUCCAGAGGAUUCAGUGCAUGAUAGGAGGGAGGCAUUGCUUAGAGCAAGCAAUCUUGCCCUAACAAGAGGGGUCACAACAGUUGUUGAUAUGGGAAGAUAUUAUCCUGGGGUUUCAGCAGAUCUUUCUUGGGAGGAUUUUUCAGACGUUUAUCAAUGGUCUAGUUCUAUGUCAAAGAUGAAGAUUAGAGUGUGUUUAUUUUUUCCAAUGGAGACAUGGUCACGUUUAGUGGAUGUGAUUAACAAAAUGGGCCAUACCUUGAGCGAAUGGAUUUAUUUGGGUGGUGUCAAAGCUUUUGCUGAUGGAUCUCUGGGUUCCAAUAGUGCAUUGUUUUAUGAGCCAUAUAUUGAUGAGCCUGACAAUUAUGGUCUUCACGUGACUGAACCUGAAGCUCUUCUCAACAUGACGUUGGAGUCAGAUUUAAAUGGUCUACAGGUUGCUAUUCAUGCUAUAGGGGACAAAGCAAAUGACCUUAUCUUGGACAUAUAUGGUUCAGUUGCUUCUACAAAUGGAAUGAGAGAUCGAAGAUUCAGGAUUGAGCAUGCCCAACAGUUGGCAUUUGGAACUCCAGACCGAUUUGGCAAACAACGGGUUGUUGCUUCCAUGCAGCCAGACCAAUUAUUGGAUGAUGCUGAAUCUGCAAGUAAAAAGCUUGGCAAGGAUAGAGCUGAAAAGGAGUCAUAUUUAUUUCGGUCACUCUUGGAUAGCAAUGCAUUAUUGGCAUUUGGUUCUGACUGGCCAGUGGUAGACAUCAAUCCCUUAAGUGGUAUUAAGACAGCAAUGAGAAGAAGGCCUCCCACUUGGGAAAGUGCAUGGAUUCCAUCAGAGUGCAUUUCUUUAGAUGAUGCGAUAAAGGCUUACACCAUUUCUGCUGCUCGUGCAAGCUUCCUUGACAAGGAUCUGGGGUCCUUGUCUCCGGGGAAACUGGCAGAUUUUGUCAUAUUAUCGAUGGAUUCAUGGAAAGACUUUGCUGAGGAAGCAUCUGCAUCUGUUGAAGAAACAUAUGUUUCUGGUGUGAGAGCAUAUCCUCGAAGUUGAAGUUCUUCCAUCGUUAGUUGAUCAAGAUUUUCAUACUGAAUAUGUGGACGCAAAGAAUGGUGGUAGUGGCAGUUUUUCGGUUCAGAUGAACUCAAGGGGCUGAAGGGGCACAUCCGAUAUAGCAAAGAGUCAAAAUUUUAUGGCAGCCUCAAACCAUAGAAAGAUGGUCAGCAAAGUGCUUGAUUUUGUUCGUUGGUCUUCGGGCGCAAGCUUCUCGUGCUUGAGAGUAUUCACUUCUUUGUUUGGAAAACUACUCAUGACGUUGUGCCCACCUUUUCCUUAUUGUCUCGUCGCAGGUUAACUCUUUAUGAUACUUGCAAAAUCUGUUCUACAACUCUUAAAAUGCUCCAACGUUGUACUCGUGACUAGGACUUCGGUGUCCCGAAACAAUUCUUUGGGCAUGCAAUUGGAGGUUGUCGGGAUUUUGUGGUACAAUAUUGUGAUUUGAGAUAUCGUUUGGGUUCUUGGUUAUGUUUGUCGGUCACAUUGGUGUAACUGAUAGCCUACAUGCUAAGAUGUUAGCAGUUCAUAACGAGUUGGAUGUUUGUUGACAACACAAUUUUAAUUUAGGCAAACUGGUAUCUUUUAUGAUU